UAACUUGAAAGUAGAAGAAACAGCACCCGGUGUGGCGACAGGGAUGAUCUUGUCUCUUCGUGAGAGUCUUCAGGACUGUAAGGACACCCUUGCAUCAUGUCAGACAGAACUUGAAGCUGCAAAAUCUGAAAUACAAAAGUGGCGGUCUGCGUUU